rnacentral:rRNA from 1 species
AUACGUAGGUGGCAAGCGUUGUCCGGAAUUACUGGGUGUAAAGGGCGUGUAGGCGGAGCAGCAAGUCAGAAGUGAAAUCUCCGGGCUUAACCCGGAAACUGCUUUUGAAACUGUUGCCCUUGAGUAUCGGAGAGGCAGGCGGAAUUCCUAGUGUAGCGGUGAAAUGCGUAGAUAUUAGGAGGAACACCAGUGGCGAAGGCGGCCUGCUGGACGACAACUGACGCUGAGGCGCGAAAGCGUGGGGAGCAAACAGGAUUAGAUACCCUGGUAGUCCACGCUGUAAACGAUGAAUACUAGGUGUAGGGGGUAUCAACUCCCUCUGUGCCGCAGCAAACGCAAUAAGUAUUCCGCCUGGGGAGUACGGCCGCAAGGUUGAAACUCAAAUGAAUUGACGGGG